rfam:Cavia porcellus supercont2_4 genomic scaffold, whole genome shotgun sequence.
GGAUGUGAGGUGAUCCAGCUGCAACAUCUGUCAUCUGGGUGGCUAGGCACAUGGCCCCUUCUUCCCUCACUGCUCUGUGUAUGUCCUGCCUACAGCUGCAUGCUCAGUUGAAGAAUAUGACCACCUCCAAAAGAGGAGGACUUUUUGGGAAAAGGGUAUAUGAGUAACUAUACUCCCCUGUUAGAAACUCCAAAAUGUUCUCAGGAGGAUGUUAAUUUAUUUCCAUAUUUUUGUGGUUUCUUUUGCCAUUAAUU